UACGUAGGUGGCGAACGUUAUCCGGAAUCACUGGGCGUAAAGGGUCCGUAGGCGGAGGCGUAAGUCGGGUGUGACAGCCCCUGGCUCAACUGGGGGAAGCCAUUCGAGACUGCGCGUCUGGAAUCCGGCAGAGGUCGGUGGAAUUCCCGGUGUAGUGGUGGAAUGCGUAGAGAUCGGGAGGAACGCCAAGGGCGCAGGCAGCCGGCUGGGUCGAGAUUGACGCUGAGGGACGAAGGCGUGGGGAGCGAACAGG
rnacentral:rRNA from 1 species